rnacentral:misc_RNA from 1 species
AGCAGCCGCGGUAAUUCCAGCUCCAAUAGCGUAUAUUAAAGUUGUUGCAGUUGAAAAGCUCGUAGUUGAAUUUCGGGAUCAGUUGGUCGGUCGUGCCUCGGUACGUACUGGUCAAAUUGAUUCCUACCUUCUGACGAACCACGAUGUCAUUAAUUUGGUGUCGCGGGAAAUCAGGACUGUUACUUUGAAAAAAUUAGAGUGUUUAAAGCAGGCUCGCGCUUGAAUACAUUAGCAUGGAAUAAUGAAAUAGGACGUUUGAUUCUAUUUUGUUGGUUUCUAGGAUCGACGUAAUGAUUAAUAGGGAUAGUUGGGGGCAUUAGUAUUCAAUUGUCAGAGGUGAAAUUCUUGGAUUUAUUGAAGACUAACUACUGCGAAAGCAUUUGCCAAGGAUGUUUUCAUUAAUCAAGAACGGAAGUUAGGGGAUCGAAGACGAUCAGAUACCGUCGUAGUCUUAACCAUAAACUAUGCCGACUAGGGAUCGGAUGAUGUUAAUUUUUUAAUGACUCAUUCGGCGCCUUAC